rnacentral:lncRNA from 1 species
GGAACAUUGUCUGAAACUUUGGAUAGAACGACUGACGAAGGAGCGUGGAGCUCCGAGCAAAGUUCCCCAGCUCGCUCAAAAACAUCUUCGUGGUACUUGCUUCUGAACUUAAAGCAGGGUUGGAACUUGCAAGAAGAUGGAUUUGAGUCAGAAGCUGAACAUGCUGCUGCAUUUGCUGCUGCAGCCUUUUCCUUUGUGCACAGUCCAGAACAAGGCUCUGGAGAGGCUUCUCAUUCUGAGGCUUUGCUUUCUCUGCCUCUUGUGGUGGCUUGAUAGAUGACUUCUUCAUUCUCAACUGCUCAAGUUGCUCCUUCACAGUGCGGUGCUGUUCAUUCAGUAAAUUGGCCAAAGGCUCUUCAAACCUCAGUGCCUGGGGUGUAUUAAAAUUUGGCCGUGACUCUGUAAUGUUAUCUUCAUCUUCUGGGCCUUCAUCUUCCAUGUUUGAGAAGCCCAUCUCAUCCUGAAACGUCUCAAACAGCUCCUCCAUCAGUUCAUUCACUUCCUUUUUGGUAAUUCUCACAGCACGAUCAUUUCUGAAGUCCUCUGUGUCUGGCUCAUCCAGAUCUUCCAGGAAAUUGUACUCAGGGUCAUCAUCAUCAUCUAAUUCAUCUUCAUUCUCCACAUCAUCAUUCAUGAGCCCUCCAAGCCACCUUUUCCAUUCUUCAUCAUCUGCAGUGUUGGGAUCAUACAUAUCAGGUGUGAUAUCCGGGGCUCGGAGCUCAGCCUCCAGCUGACCAAGAGGAACAUCCUUCAGGGGUCGCUUCGAUCGGGUCCUGAAGGCAAUGAGGCUGUCUUCCAGAGGCUGGUAGGAGUCCAUGCAUACCGGGCUGGAAGCCAAUUCUUCAUCCACUGCAUGCAGCUUCUCCAUGAAUGUGCUGUCUUUGCUUUGCUUUGGUUUAGGAGGAGGUGGAGGUCCCAUGGGAACUACUUCAGCGCUAAUGUGUCUAACAACAGGCGUAGGAACCUUCUCC